ensembl:misc_RNA Y_RNA Y RNA
GGCUGGUCCUAGGGUCGUGAAUUAUCUCAAUUGACUGUUCAUAGUCCAUUACAGAUGGAACUCCUUAUUCUACUCUUCCCCACUUUCUCACUACCGCACUUGACUAGUCUUCA